rnacentral:ncRNA from 1 species
UGAAACACAAAGAAGAGGAAUAGUAAGUUUUCUAAGAAGUUACAGAGAGCUGUUGGCUGGUGUGAAACAGUGCUUAAUGAAUUCCGAACUCGCCUCAGAGUGAUUUGCUGAAAUCAUAUAGAGAGUAAGUUAAAUCGGGUGUCACCCGUUACAGUGACAGGAUAUCGGCACACUGCCCGUAUCUUUAAUGAGUGUAUUCUUAUUUAUAAGGAUAAAUUAGAGUGGUACCGCGGAAAUAUUACCUUUCGUCUCUUAU